rfam:Triticum aestivum genome assembly, contig: Triticum_aestivum_CS42_TGACv1_scaffold_259717_3DL
UACAUACUCCCUCCGUUCAGAAUUACUCGUCCAAGGAAUGAAUGUAUCUAGAUGUAUUUCAGUUGUAGAUACAUCUAUUUUUGUGACAAGUAAUUCCGAACGGAGGGAGUACUAC